rnacentral:rRNA from 1 species
GGGGAGCUAAUCCCAAAACGCCGAUCGUAGUCCGGAUUGGAGUCUGCAACUCGACUCCAUGAAGUCGGAAUCGCUAGUAAUCGCAGAUCAGCAUUGCUGCGGUGAAUACGUUCCCGGGCCUUGUACACACCGCCCGUCACACCAUGGGAGUUGGCUGCACCAGAAGCCGGUAGUCUAACCUUCGGGAGGGCGCCGUCCACGGUGUGGUCGAUGACUGGGGUGAAGUCGUAACAAGGUAGCCGUAA